UACGUAGGGGGCAAGCGUUGUCCGGAAUUAUUGGGCGUAAAGCGCGUGUAGGCGGUCCGGUAAGUCAGCUGUGAAAGUCAAGGGCUCAACCCUUGAAUGCCGGUUGAUACUGUCGGGCUAGAGUCCGGAAGAGGCGAGUGGAAUUCCCGGUGUAGCGGUGAAAUGCGCAGAUAUCGGGAGGAACACCAAUGGCGAAGGCAGCUCGCUGGGACGGUACUGACGCUGAGACGCGAAAGCGUGGGGAGCAAACAGG
rnacentral:rRNA from 1 species